UUGAAGCAUAUAAUGAAAGUUACAAAAAUGCAACGAUAGAAGCAUUUUUAAAUUAAGUUUAAGCUUUUAUACAAAAUCAGAUUCUGAAUUUCAUAAAAAUUUUCAAGGAGGCUUUCAGGAUUAUAAUUUGAAAUAUGCAUCUUCUAUAUUGUAGCUCAUCUUAAAUUAUUAAGAUUGAAAACACAUAUUUCAAGAACAUUAGAGCACAUCCAGAAUCUUUGUAAUUCAUAUUGAAUUUUGGUACAAAUUGGAAGAUAUUAUGUACUAAUGUUAGGCAAGAUAAAAGAUAAAUCAGNNNNNNNNNNNNNNNNNNNNCUCCUAAUGGAGUAAUCUCCAGAAUCUAUUCAAGGGAUAUUCGGAGAUUAGCUGAAUCCUACUCAAGAACAAAUUGACAGAUUUUUCCUCUAAAAACAAAAAAUUCAGUUCAAAAACUUCAAAACAUGAAAAGGAAAUUCAGAAAAUCAAAACAUAGUUGAAUGCAUAUGUUGAGGGGGAGAAUCUGAAUUUUAAUCAAACUAAAUCAUUAAUGACAUAUAAGCCAAACAAUUGAUUGCAUAAUAUGAAGGCUUAUAUAAUUCCAAAUGAAAGGGAGAGCUUUAACUCCAAAAUUUAAUGUUUCACUCCUUUCAAACUUGGAUAAAUUAAAUUAUCAGACAUUUGAAUUCAUUUAUGGAUUUUACUUCAUUGUUUUAUGAGCAAUUCAUUUUACAUAUACUCAAAGUUUUGUCAUCAUCAAAAAGGGGAGAUUGUGGAGUGAUUGAUUAAAACCCCAUUUGAUUUUGAUGAGCUCAAAGCAUUUGAGUAUAUCUUGCGAGUACUAAUGAAUUCAAUUGAGUGUUUCNNNNNNNNNNNNNNNNNNNNAAACAAUUGAUUGCAUAAUAUGAAGGCUUAUAUAAUUCCAAAUGAAAGGGGGAGCUUUAACUCCGAAAUUUAAUGUUUCACUCCUUUCAAACUUAGAUAAAUUAAAUUAUCAGACAUUUGAAUUUAUUUAUGGAUUUUACUUCAUUAUUUUAUGAGCAAUUCAUUUUACAUAUACUCAAAAUUUUGUCAUCAUCAAAAAGGGGGAGAUUGUGGAGUGAUUGAUUAAAACCCCAUUAGAUUUUGAUGAGCUCAAAGCAUUUGAGUAUAUCUUGUGAUUACUAAUAAAUUCAAUUGAGUGUUUCAGUGAAAAUCCUGUCCAAGUGUCUCUAGAUUUGGUUCAUAGUAUUUUGGAUAAGGUAAGAAGUCUGCUGAACCAAAGUCUGAGACUCGAGUCGACUCCCGAGUAUCACGAGUCGACUCCAAGCGUAUCAAGUUCACUGGCACGAGCUAGAGUCGACUCCAGAUCAGUACGAGUCGACUCCGACUGAGAACAGACAGAAGGACAGAAAGCUUCAACUCAGAAACUAUCAACGAGUCGACUCCCGAAGUGUGCGAGUCGACUCCAAUGUUCAACGAGUCGACUCCAGGGUAGUAAGAGUCGACUCCAAGAGAAACACAAAGAAAAGUCAGAGAGCAGUUUUCGGGUCUGAGAUUCGAGUCGACUCCAGUGGAACGCGAGUCGACUCCGAUGGUUGGCAGGUCGACUCCAAAGAAGGUAAGAGUCGACUCUCAGAGGAACACAAGGAAAAAGUCAGAGAACGAUUUUCGGACUCUGAGAUUCGAGUCGACUCCCGCAGUACGCGAGUCGACUCCGAGACUGAGCGACCAUCACCAGAUAGAAGACCAUGUUACUGCCUCUGAGAUUCGAGUCGACUCACAGACAGCUCGAGUCGACUCCGAGACAAGCUUCACGUCAAAAGGCAGAAGACCAACUUUCGGAAACGGAGAGCCGAGUCGACUCCAAGGAAGUUCGAGUCGACUCCAAGACUGGAUGAGCCAAAAGACAGAGAAUCGGGAGUUCGGGCUCUGAGAUUCGAGUCGACUCCCAGGACAGUCGAGUCGACUCGAGUGGAUAAAAUUCAAAAUUGGAUCCACGGACUUCAGUGGAUGAGCCGACUCCAAAAUUGCCAGGUCAGCUCCAGAAGUUGGCGAGUCGACUCCAGGUCAAGACGAGUCGACUCCCAGUCAAGACGGCAACUUUAAUUCAAAUUUGGAACAGUUGCCGAGUCGACUCCGGAAAAGCAUGAGUCGAN
rnacentral:lncRNA from 1 species